CCGCCUGGCCUUCUCCAGUCCCCUGGCCCACGAUGGAGACCCUCAGGAUACUUGUGGAAACUGGGCAGACAUGGUGGGCUGCCGGGCCCUGGGCUGGAAUGGUGGGGGGGGGGGGCUUUCUAACGAGCUGCCUCUUAGCAGGGUGGGAGAGAAUUCUGGGUGGCCUGUGACAGCAUAAUAACCCCACAUCACUCAGCGACAGGACCGAGGCCUUCAGCUCCUGCUGGGGCGAUGGGCAGGGCCCCACCCCCUUCCUCCCAGGGCACCGGAGCCAGUGGCUGCGCGGGUGGGUCAGCCUGGAAGACCCGGGGCGGGAGAGAGGAGCCGGCCCAGGACGUGUCCCCAGCGGCUGGACGAGAGGCUGUGUGCUCGGGCCCCGACGCCAACUCGGAAACACUGCAGAGGAGCAGCAGCUCAAGACGCCUGAGCCCCAGGAGUCCCGGGCCUGCUUCCCGGGCCCUGCACUCCCAGGGCUGCCCCCCAGCCUGGCCCACCUGCAGUGGGCGUCCUGUCACCUCGACGACCCCGGCCGGCGGAGUGGUGGAGAGGGUGUGGACUCUGCAGCCGGCUGGCUCUGAGCUGGGCAUGGUCCCCCGGAGCAGAGCUCCUUCAAAUCCCCGCUCCGCCCCCAGCCAGCUGAGUAACCUCGGGCGACCAGAGACCCCACCCUGCCCCUGCCCCCCCGGGGAUUGUGAGCAGCUGGACGCCCCGAGGAAGCAAAAGGCAGAAUGGAGGGCCUCCUGCCUGUCCGGGGGAAGCAGAGAGGCCUGGACAAGGCUGCGGAGGGGCAGGGCGGCAGGGCACAGGGCGAGGUCCUGA
rnacentral:lncRNA from 1 species